CACGGGGGGAGCAAGCGUUGUUCGGAUUUACUGGGCGUAAAGCGCGUGUAGGCGGCUUGGCAAGUUGGAUGUGAAAGCCCACGGCUCAACCGUGGAAGAGCAUCCAAACUGCUUCGCUCGAGUCUCGGAGAGGAAGGUGGAAUGCUUGGUGUAGAGGUGAAAUUCGUAGAUAUCAAGCAGAACACCUGCGGCGAAGGCGGCCUUCUGG
rnacentral:rRNA from 1 species